rnacentral:lncRNA from 1 species
UGUUUACAUGUUCUCACUCCCACCAUUUUUCAGGUUUUGCGGGCUGUGAGGGUUGAGACGAGACGUGAGAUACAUUUGUAGCGGUCGAUAGAACUCCCUACCGAGGUUAUUCAGUUUAGUAUUUACCUUUAUUUCUGUUGAUAUAACGUAGACGGUUUAUAUGGUUCAGUAUUUUUUAUCAUAUUUGAAUAUGUGGGUUUUCGUGAAUGUAAUAAAAGAACUUGUGGAUUUUGUAAAAAAUGAAAAAUAAUUUUCUACCCCUCGUGGUAGCGUGUUUUUAUAGGAUAAGAGUUUCCAUGAGGAAAACAGUUUUAAAAGAUUUUUUUGUGGAUUUAUGAUUAAACAUCGAAUGUGAAUCUGUGGUGGAUGGUGUAUGAAUGUAUAAAUGAUUAGAUGUUGUAUAUUCAUUUGUUGUGGUUGUAUCCUGGUUAUACUCUUGUACUUGUGCGACGCCGUGCAAAUACAGGGGAGACUCUGUCCAUGUGAACAGUGGACUCUCCGUAUUUGUGGCGGAUGUGGCAUAUCCUGGGGUCAGGCUUUCAAAAAAAAAAAA